GAUGAACGCUGGCGGCGUGCCUAAUACAUGCAAGUCGAGCGAACGGACGAGAAGCUUGCUUCUCUGAUGUUAGCGGCGGACGGGUGAGUAACACGUGGUUAACCUACCUAUAAGACUGGGAUAACUUCGGGAAACCGGAGCUAAUACCGGAUAAUAUUUUGAACCGCAUGGUUCAAAAGUGAAAGACGGUCUUGCUGUCACUUAUAGAUGGAUCCGCGCUGCAUUAGCUAGUUGGUAAGGUAACGGCUUACCAAGGCAACGAUGCAUAGCCGACCUGAGAGGGUGGUCGGCCACACUGGAACUGAGACACGGUCCAGACUCCUACGGGAGGCAGCAGUAGGGAAUCUUCCGCAAUGGGCGAAAGCCUGACGGAGCAACGCCGCGUGAGUGAUGAAGGUCUUCGGAUCGUAAAACUCUGUUAUUAGGGAAGAACAUAUGUGUAAGUAACUGUGCACAUCUUGACGGUACCUAAUCAGAAAGCCACGGCUAACUACGUG
rnacentral:rRNA from 1 species